AGAGGAAUAGCUGGGUCAAAUGGUGGUUCCAUUCCCAGAUUUCCAAGGAAUCUCCAUACUGCUUUCCAAAUUGGCUGAACCAAUUUGCAGUCCCACCAGCAAU
rnacentral:pre_miRNA from 1 species